rfam:Yersinia pestis CO92 complete genome
AAUUCUACGUUGAUUCUCGUUAGACCAAGAGACUUGUGGAAUAAUAAACUUUGCCUGAUCACACAAAAACGCGGCAAUGGCGUAAGACGUAAUGUGAAAUCAAGCAAUUAGCGGGCUGCGGGUUGCAGCUUGGCCGGCAAGUGGGUAAAGCUCUGUUGUCUUAAAUUCAGAAGCUACCCUUUAUAUAAAAGCGCUGUUUUUCAGAACGAAACACAGGCUUACCGAAAUAAUGCGCCCCUAUGCAGGCGACAACCGUGAGGUUGACGGCUUAGCUAGAAGACUCGGGGCCAUCGGUUUAUCCGGUCAUGAGGUUAUUUUGCCCGCAGUUCUAACGCCAA